GUCUGAAUUUAUAGUUGAGAUUACUGCUUUCAUUCAUCUGGAAAGGUAGCACUGGUUGUUUACCGCUAAAGUGCGUUUAACACUCAGGACAGAUACCAAGAGACUAAGUUGGAAGCACAGCUGUGGGACAGUUAUUUUGCGGGAUAUGAAUUGAUGGUCUGAAAUUUUAGGUCACCAAUGAUGUAAUGGAUCAAACCUAGAUAUAUCUUACAACUCAGGGAGGCAAUCAAAUGCCUUUUGUCCCGUCUUUCUCAGGAUCCAUAAGCUUAUUAAAGUACAGAGCGCUAACCAAUACAACCUGUUCCUGUUUUGUGAGAGUAUAAACUUGUCUAAGCUCUGUCCUGUGUAAGUAGGAAAAAGAGGAGCUAGAGAGAUGUGUUGGGUUUUUAGAAACAGAAACAAUUACUUAUUUUAAAUGCUCUGAUAUUCUGCCUCUUUUUUUUUUUUUUUUUUGUCAAAAUGUUUUCUAAAAUUUCUUGUGUUAAAAAUUUUCAGGUAUGUGAGUAAACGGACCGAAGAUGAAUAAUCAAGAGCAGCAUCAUCCUGCUCCAAUGAGCACUGCCUCUCAUUCGGAAAGAGGCGAUGUCAACAACCGAGAGGCACAUGCCUCAAUGUUGUGUCGAACGUUGCUAAGUAUUGGGUCUUGACGAAUCUUUUCCCCAAUCCCAUGGCACAGAUCCCGAUGUCAGGAAACCUGGCCCCUCUAGCCCUUUCGAGCACAACCAUAACAGCAAGUGGAGACUCGGGGACCAGUGAUAGUCACACAACAACAACCCAGAGUAUGAAAGGCAUAAAAGUCUUAAGUAAAUCGGGUUCAAAUUCAUCUCAGCAGAUUGAAAAUUCAGUUCAUUGCCAGCCGACGGUCCAUGAAAUCCCACAAAUGGAUGGUGCCCACGAGCAUCAGCUUAUCAGCGGCCUUACUCCUCAACAGCAUCACCAAUUAGUGCAACAGGUAUAGACAUUUUGAAACCAAUUGCAUAUAUUCUGCUGAUUUUUUCCAGCAUGUUGAAGUCUUUCCUUUCAUGUAAUGUAAAUGAGCAUGAACCAUUUCCAUCUCACUUUAU
rnacentral:lncRNA from 1 species